rnacentral:rRNA from 1 species
GCAAGUCGAACGAGAACGGGAAAAGCUUGCUUUUCUGUCAGCUAAGUGGCGCACGGGUGAGUAAUGUAUAGCUAACUUGCCUUCUAGCAGGGGAUAACAUCGAGAAAUUGAUGCUAAUACCCUAUACUCCUUUCUACUUAAUGUAGUUUGGGAAAGAUUUAUCACUAGGAGAUAGGGCUAUAUCCCAUCAGCUUGUUGGUAGUGUAAGAGACUACCAAGGCUAUGACGGGUAGCUGGUUUGAGAGGAUGAUC